UGGAUGUGCGUUUUUGUCCUAAGGUGAACAUCUUUUUGGUCUCAAUAGCUCCCACCUUGUUGAAAAUCACUAUACUUUUGUGUUAAAUGCAGAGUGUAGAUCUUAUCUCUUUGCUUUGUUUUUACUUGCCAUAUUUUGUACUAGUUGUAUUGAUCACACAAUGUGUAAUUGAAAUUAAUUGAUUUUAGCAUGUCAACUGUCAGAUAUGCUCAAUAAGCAUGGGG
rnacentral:misc_RNA from 1 species